ensembl:lncRNA
CUAUUAAAUACAACAUUCCCUCCCUCUCACCCCAGCCUUAGAAAACCUAAAGCCUCCAUCAGUUUCCAUUGUCCACUAAAUUACUAUUACCUGAUUUCAGGUCAUUUUUUGAUACCAGGUUUUGAUGGAAACAGAAUAAAAGCAUAUGAGGGAUGCGAUAGUGAGGAGGACCCAAGGAAAGGGCCCAGCAAGACGUGGAUGAGGAGCCAUAGAUGAUCUACUUUAUAGUUUGCAAAGGGCUGGCAGCCUCCCUUAGCUACUGCCGAGACUUUGGAUCAUUCCAGCUAUAGCUAAGCACUUCUUUUGGUGAAGUCUGCAAGAUUCAAGGAUUGUGUACUCCUUGAAAGCACAUAUUAUCUCUCAGAGAUGUUAAGAAAAUACACAUCCUAAUACUGAUGUUUUUAUUUUCUAGGAAGUAUUGGGUCACAAUCAAUUCUAGUGAUAAACACUCUGCGUCUUUACAAAUAAAUACUCAGUGUUUUCCCUGGAACUAAUGUCUUUGUUCUUUCCUUGUACUUUGUACCCAUGCUUCCUAUUUUCCUUUGUUUUACCAAGUAGGCAGUGGACAGAAGGGACCAUUUUGUUGGGUCACAAAGGUAGCAAAAGAAAUAUACAGACUUAGGAAAAGUCAAGAUACAAUCUCUUACAGAUAGUUGAAGUACAAGGACAUCCUUGCAAAGCCUGGCACAAAUAACAAUAACUUUCUCAUGAGCAGACUCCCCAGCCCCAUUGUCCUACAUGUGGAGAAAAGGAAGGUCCUGCUGCUCACAGCUCUGAAAGUCUGUCCUGUGUGUGAUCACCACGUGGAUUCAGAGAGUGAGCUGGACAAGGUGUAUAAUCUGGACAGCUCCCAUCAUAGUCCACAGAACUGGUGCAUCCCAACCUUUGUCCUGGAGCUUCGUAACCCAAACCUCAGGUAGAAUUUAAGAUUCAGCACUGCAACUUUAAAACAGUGGUAUGUGUAGAGCCCAACCUUCUUCCCUUGUGCUUCCUGUUUGGCUUCCCCUGGGCUUCCUUGGGCUUCCCUUGUGGCUCAGCUGGUAAAGAAUCCACCUGCAAUGCGGGAGACCUGGGUUCUAUCCCUGGGUUGGGAAGAUCCCUUGGAGAAGAGAAAGGCUACCCACUCCAGUGUUCUGGCCUAGAGAAUUCCAUGGACAGUCCAUGGGAUCCCAAAGAGUCAGACAUGACUGAGCAACUUUCACUCACUUCACAUCCUUCUUCCAAUAGCAAAUUACAGUGAUGAAGUAGGUGGACCUGGAUUUAGGUAGAAACUUCCAAUCUUUCUGAAUCAGACUAUUUCUUUAAUAGUCACAGUAUCAGUGGAAUUCAAGCUUGAUCCCCAAAAGAUAUGCUUUACACGUCUUCUCCCUUCAGAACAUGCAAAAUGCUGCUCUGGAAACAGAUCUCUGAGAAAAUGCCCAUCAGUGGCACAAGGUGGUGCUGUCUAGACUUGGAGGGGUAGGGGUAGGAUUGAGAUGCAAAAAACCAGAGUAGGAAGGGACCAUGUUGCAUCGCUUCCCUGUUGAGAUGUAAACGAUCUGGGAACCAUCAUUGCUGGAAGGUGUAAAGCUCAGGAUGAAGGAGACUGGGAGGAUUUCAAAGAGGAAAGUUUGAAUUUAUCAAGUGGAAGCCCAAUGGUCAAUAUUAGGGAAAGAUAUUGAGAAGUAAAUGCCACAGAAGACACUGCGAGAAAUUGACCAUGAACAAAUGACAUGGAGGGGAUGUUUAUGGUGACUAUUUGUCCAGAGAUUUCCAAGCUUGAGCUCCUUGCUCCUGGAAGGUGCCCGGGAUAACAGAAGAAUGGAAGAGGAAGUCCCUCCAUAGAGGUGUGUGACAAAAAUUAAUAAUUUCACUUGUAUGUUGACCUUAUAAUGGAAAUACAAAAGUACAGGACAGCCUUUUGGCUGUUGGCUUCAGAAAAGAAAUACUAGAAAAUAAAAAUAAGCCAGAAUAUUUAUAGAAAAAGAGG